GAUGAACGCUGGCGGCGUGCCUAAUACAUGCAAGUCGAGCGAACAGACGAGGAGCUUGCUCCUCUGACGUUAGCGGCGGACGGGUGAGUAACACGUGGAUAACCUACCUAUAAGACUGGGAUAACUUCGGGAAACCGGAGCUAAUACCGGAUAAUAUAUUGAACCGCAUGGUUCAAUAGAGAAAGACGGUUUUGCUGUCACUUAUAGAUGGAUCCGCGCCGCAUUAGCUAGUUGGUAAGGUAACGGCUUACCAAGGCAACGAUGCGUAGCCGACCUGAGAGGGGGAUCGGCCACACUGGAACUGAGACACGGUCCAGACUCCUACGGGAGGCAGCAGUAGGGAAUCUUCCGCAGUGGGCGAAAGCCUGACGGAGCAACGCCGCGUGAGUGAUGAAGGUCUUCGGAUCGUAAAACUCUGUUAUUAGGGAAGAACAAAUGUGUAAGUAACUAUGCACGUCUUGACGGUACCUAAUCAGAAAGCAACGGCUAACUACGUG
rnacentral:rRNA from 1 species